rnacentral:rRNA from 1 species
GACGUAGGGGGCAAGCGUUGUUCGGAAUUAUUGGGCGUAAAGCGCGCGCAGGCGGUCCUUUAAGUCUGAUGUGAAAGCCCACGGCUCAACCGUGGAGGGUCAUUGGAAACUGGAGGACUUGAGUACAGAAGAGGAAAGCGGAAUUCCACGUGUAGCGGUGAAAUGCGUAGAGAUGUGGAGGAACACCAGUGGCGAAGGCGGCUUUCUGGUCUGUAACUGACGCUGAAGCACGAAAGCGUGGGGAGCAAACAGG